GUUUAUCUGCCGAGUUUGCCUUUCGGCAAACGUCGCUUUAUUGUAUGCAGUUUUGCUUUUGCAAAACUGCUUGAAAAAAUAUUUUUCGGAAACUGAUGUUUCCUGCAAAAUAUUUUUAUUGGA
rnacentral:sRNA from 1 species